rnacentral:misc_RNA from 1 species
CAAUGAGUGUUUUAUGGCACUCUUUAAAAAUCCAUAUCCACCUUGUGUGCAAUGUUUGUUGGGAGAGAGGCAACUCUUUCCCAACAAACAUCAACCUUUAUCUUUUAACUCUUUGUCUGAAAAAUAUUAUGAAUAAAAUAAUUCAAAAUA